rnacentral:scRNA from 1 species
UGCCGGGGGGGUGGCGCCGGCGGUGGUGUCUU